rnacentral:rRNA from 1 species
GUGGGGAAUCUUCCGCAAUGGACGAAAGUCUGACGGAGCAACGCCGCGUGAGUGAAGAAGGUUUUCGGAUCGUAAAGCUCUUUCGUUAGGGACGAACGUGCUCUUUGUGAAUAAUGAGGAGUAAUGACGGUACCUAAAUAAGAAGCCACGGCUAACUACGUGCCAGCAGCCGCGGUAAUACGUAGGUGGCAAGCGUUGUCCGGAAUUAUUGGGCGUAAAGCGCGCGCAGGCGGGAUAUCAAGUCUGUCUUAAAAGUGCGAGGCUCAACCUCGUGAGGGGACAGAAACUGGUAUUCUUGAGUGUCGGAGAGGAAAGUGGAAUUCCAAGUGUAGCGGUGAAAUGCGUAGAGAUUUGGAAGAACACCAGUGGCGAAGGCGACUUUCUGGACUGUGUCUGACGCUGAGAUGCGAAAGCCAGGGUAGCGAACGGGAUUAGAUACCCUAGUAGUCC